ensembl:snoRNA
UGACCUGAUUAUAUUAGUAAUAGGAAGUGCAAUAAGAAGCAAUAACUGAUGAUGUUUAUGCCCAUCUGACU